rnacentral:rRNA from 1 species
AACGAACGCUGGCGGCAGGCUUAACACAUGCAAGUCGAACGCCCGUAGCAAUACGGGAGUGGCGGACGGGUGAGUAACGCGUGGGAAUCUCCCCAAAGGUACGGAACAACUCAGGGAAACUUGAGCUAAUACCGUAUGUGCCCGAGAGGGCAAAGAUUCAUCGCCUUUGGAUGAGCCCGCGUUGGAUUAGCUAGUUGGUGGGGUAACGGCCUACCAAGGCGACGAUCCAUAGCUGAUCUGAGAGGAUGAUCAGCCACACUGGGACUGAGACACGGCCCAGACUCCUACGGGAGGCAGCAGUGGGGAAUCUUGGACAAUGGGCGAAAGCCUGAUCCAGCCAUGCCGCGUGAGUGAAGAAGGCCUUAGGGUUGUAAAGCUCUUUUACCCGGGAAGAUAAUGACGGUACCGGGAGAAUAAGCCCCGGCAAACUUCGUGCCAGCAGCCGCGGUAAUACGAAGGGGGCUAGCGUUGUUCGGAUUUACUGGGCGUAAAGCGCACGUAGGCGGAUUGUUAAGUC